rnacentral:rRNA from 1 species
GACGAACGCUGGCGGCGUGCCUAAUACAUGCAAGUCGGACGCAGUUGCGAACGGGUGAGUAAGGCGUAGGUAACUACCUAUUAGAGGGGGAUAACUAUUGGAAAAGAUAGCUAAUACCGCAUACUAGUAGAUGGACCUGCUGUGUAUUAGCUAGUAGGUAGGGUAAAGGCCUCUAUAGGCAACGAUACAUAGCCGAGCUGAGAGGGUGAUCGGCCAACAUGGGGACGGGACCAGGCCCAGACUCCUACCGGGGGCAGCAGUAGGGAAACAUUGGCAAAUGGGGGAACCCUGACCGCGCAAAGCCGCGUGAGUGAAAAAGGUUUUCGGGUCGGAAAGCUCUGUUGUUAAGGAAGCGGUACUUAACCAGAAAGGGCCGGCUAACUACGUGCCAGCAGCCGCGGUAAUAC